CUCUGAUUAACGCUCAGAGGCGGUGCGUGUACCUGUUACUGGACAUAUGCUUGUCGUUACAGCCAUCUGCUGCACUGGCACCUGGCCCGCUCCCACGCGCUCGUGCCAAACCCGCACUCGGGAGGCCCAGACCUAAGGGCGGAGAAGUCACAGACUUUACAGAAACCCAUUCAGGAGGCGGACAGGGAUCCUCAGCAGGCCCCAUGCCCGCAGAUGUGACAGCAGUCUGUUGGCCUUCAAAUGGCCGCAGGACAGGCAGUUUACUAGAGAAAGGAGCUUUUCCCUUUGGUCCAACAUGCUUAUUUAGCAUGUUAUAUUUGCUCCUCAAGGCUGCGGAACUUCUUUCUAUCAUUCUCCACCCUGGGGAAGACAUUCCUGCUAAUAUCCUAGUGACAUGAUGCUAGACUCUGAGCUCCUCACUUCGGGAGAAGUGGGGACUCUGCACUCUGAAGAACCCUCUGGAUUCUGUCUCGAGGAACUUGGGCAAAUUUACCAGAUGCUUCUUUUGGGGGAUAUUUCAAGGGUCCCACUUGCUGCACUCCAGCACCUUCUUCCCUGAGAUGUCAGCCCAACCUCAGAACAGGCCCUCACCUGGAAUCCUGGAUCUGGGCCCUCAUGGGGUGCAAAUAAACUAUUAUCUUGUGUUUUGAGAAUCUUAACUCCAGCCUAUAGGCUGACUGAGUGCCAGAGAUCUGUUUGCCAUUUCGUGUUUUUCCUGGGUGACCUGGCAGUCCCACUACUGGCUACUCCUUGUCAAGUGAGGAUUCCAGUGGAGGACACAAUCACCAAGAAGACCUUCCAGAAUCUUCCUGAUGCCUACAAAUGAUUCAACUCUCUUGUCACAAUUGAUGUUCUUCCAUGUAGAAGUGAUAAAGAAAAUGUGUGGUUUCUCAUACAUUGAUUUUUCUCCAGAAAUUUAUUGGUCACAUAAAAUUAAGCAAAAGAUGCUACCUUUUACAAUUCUUUUAAAUAUCUUUGUGAAAUCUUCCUCUUUAAAAAAAAAAUGGGAACAUCUUAGUGCUAAGGCAUUCUGCAAGUUGCCAGAUACCAAUUCCCGUUUCAGUGUGACAAUGUGCAGAGAUUUAAACAGGGCAAUUGUCUUCCCGAGGCGGUCUUUUUCCACAUAGAGCAAAAAGCUUGGGAAUAUCAGAAAAUUAGGCAUCUUCUCAUUUUCUGAUCUAGAAGGGCUGAUCCAGUUUCAUUUAUAGCAACCUGAGUUGGAUCAGCUGCUGUGUAAACAGAGUGCUUGAGUGUAGCCUGGUGGCUACUGCAUAAUCAAAACCACUGGAACCCAAGCAACACACAAAGAUACUGUUUUUGCGCUGUUGCACAAUUUGAAUUCAUUGCAGUGACCAUAAAAUUGGCUAUGAAGCUCCCGACAUAAAGACACCUGGGUGGGUAAAGGGUGUGGACACAGCCAGAACCAAACUCUUGUUUUUGCACAACUCAACUUAGCUUAUUUCUCCUGAAGAAUAGUUCAUUUGGACAAAUGAUGUCCCCAGUGUGCAAAACCCGAAUUUGCAAAUGCACUGAAGCUAGUGAAAAAUGAACGAUCGGAGGAGAAAAAAAGUCUAAGUCAAUUCAACAAAGUCAAGAGGUGAGAAAAAGGAAUGGCUGGCAAUGCGGAAAAAUAAUGAAAUGGGAGAAAACUGUGGGAGCGCAGCCCCCUCUCCAGCCCUGGUCCGAGUGGGUGUCCUUUCUGAAUGCGACAUGUGCCCUGGAAAUAUGAGGAUAAAAUAAGGCAAACUGUACCCCGUGUUGCCUCUGCUCCUGAACAGCACAGACUUUUUGUUUAUGAUGGAAAUCAGCAUGUGAAAAGAAAUCAAUCUGUCAAUAUGUUCUUGUUUUUCUCAACCAGCAAGGAGCUCAGCUUAUUUUGAAAAGCCAAAAGGAACAUGGGCUGCCUCUUAUAAUUAAGUCCCCCCAGGAAGCUUAGCCUUUGGAAGUCACACUUUCUUGAGGGACAAUCACAGCGACUUGGCUUGUCUGACCUUGCAGGGGCGUGAAAGCAAGCCCUGUGUGAUGAGAUGCACUUCCCGCGGUGCCUUGGAAGCUGUGGGGAGCGGGUAGGGCAGGGGGAUCCACAGGGGCUGCCGAGGUUGGGAGGAACAGAAAUCUCUGCCGAAUAGGGGAUACCGUCUGCAGUAAGAGCCGCAGGCCAGCAGAAGUCAGGACACCUUCUUCAACUGGCUUUCAAGGAUCACCAGGACUGACCCCCGCCCCCCAUCAGCCCAGCUUACCUAGACAAAUACACUAUUCAGCAGUUACCAAGUCCCCUGAGAGUUUGGGGAGCAGAGACAUAACAGGGUACUCUAACUCCCACACCAUGGCUUUAUUAAAAGAAAAAUGUAGCCUUCUGCCUACAAUUCCCUCUCCCUGAGCCCCGUCCCUCCCUGGCCUUCUCAUCUUGAAGGAAGGAAAAAUAAAUUUCUAUCAAUCUUAGGAUAUUCUUGCCAGACUUACCCGAUUCAAUUGUUCACAGCUCUUGGAUCUGUAUAAAGACAAACAUAAAAAGCAAAGCCCCAAACCUCUAGCAAUUUGAAAUACACAGUUAAAUGAGUGACAAUAUUUAUCUUUUGGAAAAGACCUUUAAAUAAAGACUCAGAGGAAAAACAAAAGAGAAAUAAUCAUUUGGUAUAUUUCCUCAACAUAUUGGUUUUUUAAUUGUCAGUGUAUGCAUUCCAGCUUCCGCCAAGAAAUCUGCAUCCAUGCUUAUUACUAAAGACUGAGCAUCACCGGCAAAUUCUGUUACUAUGGCAAACGCUUUUAUCAGAAGAGUAAUGUAAAUGAGAAGAACUCACAAAAUGUACGGCUAAGGCACGAAGACAGGAAGGUGUUCUUUGCUCUUGGGCUUUCUCAUUUUAAAGGAAAUGGUGACAAUUAAAUCAAAUAUUUGGCAAUUACUUGCUAGGUAAACAACCCUAUUUUGAGAGCCAUGGGAGAUAAAAUGGCAAAUGUGAGGUCAGUUUCCUGGUCUCAAGGACCUUUCUUUCUAAUUGGGGAAUGAAGACAUAAUCAUAGGAGAAGUUAAAGGUAAGCUCAG